UAGGGAAUCUUCCACAAUGGGCGCAAGCCUGAUGGAGCAACACCGCGUGAGUGAAGAAGGGUUUCGGCUCGUAAAGCUCUGUUGUUAAAGAAGAACAUGCGAGAGAGUAACUGUUCUUGUAUUGACGGUAUCUAACCAGAAAGCCACGGCUAACUACGUGCCAG
rnacentral:rRNA from 1 species